rnacentral:lncRNA from 1 species
ACCGUCUGUGGGUAGGCAUGAAGGACAGCACCUCACCUUAGCUGCAGCAGCCCACACACACAGCUCACUUUCUGCCUGGACUCCUCUGCCUGCAGCUGGUAUUGGGCCUGUUGGAAUUUGCGCAUCCAUUUCAUCGUGGGCCAAUGUGAAAUGUUUGAGGCUACAUGGAACUAUUUGAACUCUUUCAGAAGACGGACUCCUCGAUAAAGCAGUAGUACUCCUGUUUCCAACGUUUCACAUUAUUACCAUUGUCAAGAAUCUACUGACCACAUCUAAUGAAAAUGCAAGGAACGAAGAAGGGAAGGAGAGAAAGUUGGAGGAGGAGGAAUGCAUGGAAGAAGGGAAGAAGAAAAGAAGAAAAAUACCUUCUCACUCCCACUUCUGCAAACUCCACUCCAAGCAAUAGUAGUGGAGUAACAACUCAGCUGAAAAGUAGUAGAAAGCAAGACUAAAAUUGUAACAUAUACAGCAAUAACACUGACAUCUGGCUGUCUUAGCCCAAGUAUGAAAUUAUAGAA